GAUGAACGCUGGCGGCGUGCCUAAUACAUGCAAGUCGAGCGAACAGAUGAGGAGCUUGCUCCUCUGACGUUAGCGGCGGACGGGUGAGUAACACGUGGAUAACCUACCUAUAAGACUGGGAUAACUUCGGGAAACCGGAGCUAAUACCGGAUAAUAUAUUGAACCGCAUGGUUCAAUAGUGAAAGACGGUGUUGCUGUCACUUAUAGAUGGAUCCGCGCCGCAUUAGCUAGUUGGUAAGGUAACGGCUUACCAAGGCAACGAUGCGUAGCCGAACUGAGAGGGUGAUAGGCCACACUGGAACUGAGACACGGUCCAGACUCCUGCGGGAGGCAGCAGUAGGGAAUCUUCCGCAAUGGGCGAAAGCCUGACGGAGCAACGCCGCGUGAGUGAUGAAGGUCUUCGGAUCGUAAAACUCUGUUAUUAGGGAAGAACAAAUGUGUAAGUAAAUAUGCACGUCUUGACGGUACCUAAUCAGAAAGCCACGGCUAACUACGUG
rnacentral:rRNA from 1 species